rnacentral:rRNA from 1 species
UACGUAGGCAGCGAGCGUUGUUCGGAGUUACUGGGCGUAAAGCGUGCGUAGGCGGCUUUUUAAGUCAGGGGUGAAAUCCUGGAGCUCAACUCCAGAACUGCCUUUGAUACUGAGAGCUUGAGUCCGGGAGAGGUGAGUGGAACUGCGAGUGUAGAGGUGAAAUUCGUAGAUAUUCGCAAGAACACCAGUGGCGAAGGCGGCUCACUGGCCCGGUACUGACGCUGAGGUGCGAAAGCGUGGGGAGCAAACAGG